rnacentral:rRNA from 1 species
UAGGGAAUCUUCGGCAAUGGACGAAAGUCUGACCGAGCAACGCCGCGUGAGUGAAGAAGGUUUUCGGAUCGUAAAACUCUGUUGUUAGAGAAGAACAAGGACGUUAGUAACUGAACGUCCCCUGACGGUAUCUAACCAGAAAGCCACGGCUAACUACGUGCCAGCAGCCGCGGUAAUACGUAGGUGGCAAGCGUUGUCCGGAUUUAUUGGGCGUAAAGCGAGCGCAGGCGGUUUCUUAAGUCUGAUGUGAAAGCCCCCGGCUCAACCGGGGAGGGUCAGUGGAAACGGGAAGACUUGAGUGCAGAAGAGGAGAGGGGAAUUCCAUGUGUAGCGGUGAAAUGAGUAGAUAUAUGGAGGAACAACAGUGGCGAAGGCGGCUCUCUGGUCUGUAACUGACGCUGAGGCUCGAAAGCGUGGGGAGCAAACAGG